UAAGAUUUUUAACAAACAAUUCUCCCCUUUGAAGUAGACUUAGUAAAAUUAGCAUAUAAAUGAGCAAUGCUGCUACAUAAGGACAUGUGGCUGGAGAGGAGGGAUAAUUGGCUGAGGGGGCUAGUUUCUAAAUGAGGUCGUUUGCUGAGUGACCGGCAGACUACAGGUGUGCUGUGUUCUGUGAGCUGUGCAGUGCUCUGUGAUAGGAUCCUCCAUACAUCUCCUCAGAGCUGCCUUUGCUGGGCCUGUGAAGGACCAUUAUGCUGAAAUAGCUGCACCAGUGGCUGCUGACAAGAGCUGCAUGAGCUGAAUUCACUGACCUCCAAAAGCCAGAACAAGGAUUUAAUAUGGUGCUAGCAGGUUAACAUUAGGAUUUUGAGCUUCAGAACUUUUUAUUUCACCAAAAUCGUUGGAAUUUCCUACCCCAGUGGGAAACUGCCACCUUGUUACAUGUUACCUUGGACACCCUCCUCUCUUCAUGAAUGAGGCAGCUCUCUUGGGACCAAAACACCCUUGUCCUUCCAUGGCAGGGACACGUGGCUGGAGGUCUCUCAGUAGCAGCACUUGCUAAUGUACUAAAAUGAAAAAAAAUAACUUAAGUAUGGAUGUUUUGAGUCAGCUUUCAACAAAAAUUUCUCAGUGUGCUUGAAGCAAUCAUGUUCUGUUCACUUGCUCCUUUAUGCAAUUUAAUAAAAAUUGAACUUGAGAUUUACAGAGGACAGUAGACCAUGAUCCCAGGGGCACCUGAAUAGCAAACGGGACAGUCUGUUCCGUGUGGAACAAAACCAAGCUCUAAUUCCCUGUGACUUGCUUUGAGGAUAGGUACAGACUGAGUUUCUGCAGAAAACAUCAGCACAUUCUGGAGGCACUCAUGAUCCUUUGGCCCAGAUACUACUGAGAUCACCUUUGCACUUACCUGUAUAGGAGACCAGAUUGGGCCCUCUUCAGUGUAACCCUCAUGUAACAUGGGAGGCUGAAGGCUGAAUCCAGCUCUUCUACAUCUUAACUGAGUGUUAAGGGCAA